GGGGCUUCAGAGGAGGAAGAGGAGGAGGUGGCGGAUUCCGAGGAAGGGGACAUUAGAUGUCCAGUUGGCAGACCUGACCACUUCUGUUUCCGCUGCGUGGCCUGCCUCUGCUGUGGCUGGCGUCUGUCUGGAGCAGUCUUGAGGGUGCCAUUCUGUCAGUGGAGCUGGAUCGGCAGCAUCGAGUCAGAUCAAGGGGAACAGGACAGUCAAUUUUGCUCAGAAGGAGGAGAACCCCUGCUUUGUACAGUACCUGGCACUCUGUGGGUGCUUAAAGAACCAUGGGACUUUUCAUUUGAAGCAUAUUUGGAUUUUUUAAAUAAAAUUUUUAAUUUCCUUAACUUA